rnacentral:rRNA from 1 species
GACGAACGCUGGCGGCGUGCUUAACACAUGCAAGUCGAACGGAAAGGCCCUGCUUUUGUGGGGUGCUCGAGUGGCGAACGGGUGAGUAACACGUGAGUAACCUGCCCUUGACUUUGGGAUAACUUCAGGAAACUGGGGCUAAUACCGGAUAGGAGCUCCUGCUGCAUGGUGGGGGUUGGAAAGUUUCGGCGGUUGGGGAUGGACUCGCGGCUUAUCAGCUUGUUGGUGGGGUAGUGGCUUACCAAGGCUUUGACGGGUAGCCGGCCUGAGAGGGUGACCGGCCACAUUGGGACUGAGAUACGGCCCAGACUCCUACGGGCGGCAGCAGUGGGGAAUAUUGCACAAUGGGCGGAAGCCUGAUGCAGCAACGCCGCGUGCGGGAUAACGGCCUUCGGGUUGUAAACCGCUUUCGCCUGUGACGAAGCGUGAGUGACGGUAAUGGGUAAAGAAGCACCGGCUAACUACGUG